AACAUCUGCAGUCAAGUGCUCUGCUGGAAAAUGUGAAAGAUGGAUUCCCUCUGGUAGCAAAUGAGAAAUUCAGUGGAUGUAUUUACAAUGUUCUGUAUAUAUUCAUUGGAACAUAUGGCUCAAUGAAUUAUUCUACAUGAUAAAUCUCCACUGAGGCAGCCUGCUAACCAUUCAGGUCCCAAACCUUCUGAAAGUGGCAAAACCUCCUGCCAAGUGGUGUCAUUCAGAAGAACAGAGGGAGACUCACUUCUUCACUGAGGAGGUUCUUACGGCUGACUUGCUAUACUUGACCGUGAAGAUGAUGCUCUCUACCGAAUUACAUCGGCACAAGGAAUUUACAGAAACUGGAUGUGGCUGUGAUAAAAAACAGAGCAGAGCACAGUUUUGCUGGGACAACAGUGGCCAUCAGUGAUUUGCAAUUCCUGGAUGACACCUGAAUUUUACCAAAAGGUUUCAAGGCAACCCUUUAGAAAGUGACCUUUUGCUUUCCCCAUUUCCUUUGCCCUAAGUGUUAAUUGACUUUGAAAAAGCAGUAUAUUAUCUUUUCAGAAAAAAGAAAAGGAUAGACCUUAUUUGUGAACACCAACAUCCUACAGCAUCAAAGCGUUGUUUAAAUCAUCGCACAGCAGAGCUGAGAACAACUAUCCAGGAGAGUGAGAUUUAAAAAAAAAGAAAAGAAAAGAAGUCUUAGAAUGAAAGAGUGCUGCUGCCAUCUAGUGGCAUGGGUGAUCGUAGGCAGCUAUCAACAACAUCAACAUACAGGAAAAUAAUGUUAUCAUCCAGCUUUGAGGGGAAAUUUUCUAAUUCAUUUUGUGUGCAGAGGUCACCUUUACUCAUUCUUUGUCCUAGCAAAGGCAUGGACUUUGUAAAGACAGCUAUAUGUGGGAUUUCGUGAAAAAAAGUUCUCUCCUAGUAAAAUGCUUCCCUGAGUUACUGACAGGUACAUAAGAGUUAGUGUGAGUACCUGCAUAAUUGUGUAAAGUGGCUUUGCUUUGACACUUACAAGAUCACAUGCAGACUUUCCUUUAAUAUGUAGAUCCAGAACCACUGUACCUAUAUUCUUCUAUCCCUCUACAGCAUUGCUUCCUUACAGCAUAAUUUGUCUUACGGCAUAAAAAACAUUUCUUUUUCUUUUAAAUUUUCGCCAUUCACCUAAAUGAAAUUGUGAAGAUGUGUAACAUACAUUAAAUUAAAAGAGCCUAGCAAUUACGGAAAAUAAGAAUUAUAGUUUUUUAAAAAACAAAUUAGGAGCCAUUAUUAGGCGUAUAGAGCUUAUACAGCAUUGGAGGCUAAAAAAAAAACAAGGGUGUUAAUGUUCCCAUUAAUAUUCAGGCCAGGUACAUCAAGAAGACAGAAGUUAUUAUGGUAUCUGAUCAAUUGCAUGGAACAUACAAUUUCUUAAUUUAGAAUAUAAAUGUAAUUUAUAAAUAAAAUGUAGUCCAUAUGGAACAGAGCUACAUCUUCUAAAAGCAUUGUCCCUCUUGGAAGAGAGUACUUUCGUUCAGUCUGUUCUCAGUAGUCUUGGGGAAAGGAGUUUCUGUGAAUUGUAAUAGCAAUCCUACAUUCAAUAUUAUUAUUUAGUGGUUAACUAAAAUGCAAUUUGUGACUCUGAGCCAAAAAGAGCAACCUUUUUUCCCACUGUGCCCUUGAACUUCUGAUUUUUAAAGACUCCAAUUUUACUUAAGUUUUACUAACACUAUUUCAGCAAAGAACGUUUUGUCUGUCAUGCGAGCCUUAACAGUGUUGUAACUUAAACUAGGAUAUUUCCCUUCAUCAACUAAAGAAGAAAAAUGGUACCAACCAGGCAUUAGUC
rnacentral:lncRNA from 1 species